GUUUCUGGGAUAGCCAUGCCAAGCCUCUUCAGGGCAGGGGGAGCAUUCCUCCCAUUGCCCUGAAGAGGCUUUGCGUGGCUAUCCCUGAAGC